rnacentral:piRNA from 1 species
UGCAACUCGGGAUUAGCAAAUGAUAUCUCC